CCGAACAUCCGACAAUGAACGAAUCGGCGUUGGAUGCAAUAAAGAAAAUGUGUGCGAAUGGCGAUCUGGAAAAUUGCAAAAAAAGCAUACAAUUGUUUUGCGAACGUGGCAAUGAACAUUUGUAUAAACAUUUUUGUUAAAGCUAGUGAAGAGCCGAUCGAAAGUUUCAACUGGGAUAACACAGAGACACGCCCACAGGGGUACCAACGAUUAAUUUAUGCGAGUUAAAAAUAAGGUAAAAUCGAUCGUAUAUGUCUAUAAGCAGGCAUCAAGGUCGGGAACAAGUGUCUGCUCGCGAAUAUACAUAUGUACACACGAAUUUGCAAAUAUUUGUAUGCCAAUUUCCAUAUUUAUUGCAUGUGUUACAUGGAAUUCAGAAGAAUUGAGCCGAUUAAUAUGCAACUGGAAUAUUAAGGAUUACAUGGUACAGAGUGAGUCAGAUAAAAUGUUACAAACUAUUAUCUCAGAAACUAUAGCACCUAUCGACCUAAUUUUUUUCUCAGAAUUAAAUGGUACGAAAUGCCAUGGUAACUAUUUUAGAAAAAUUUAAUAUACACCACGCAAUUAGGUACCUUGUACCAUUUAAUUAAGAAAAAAAGGAAUUAGGUCGAUAGGUUCUAUAGUUUCCAAGGUAAUAAUUUGUCUUUAUCUGACUCACCCUGUGUAAGGAGUACCAGUAAUUGCAUUUCAAAGAAUUGAUAUUAUAAUUAAGAUAUUUUGCAUUGUAAGAAAUUUGAGUGUUAUUUAAAAGGAUGCAUUUAUUUAGAGCAAUUUUGAGGUGACCUUAAUGCCUUCGCUUAUCGAUCCUUCCUCGUUAAAUUUUAAUAAGACCCUCGAUUUCUUUCAACCUUCUAAGUUCGGCUUCGUUUCUCUCCUUUAACGAGCUUCUUACGUCCACUAGUUACGCUGCUUGGCGCAUAAUCAAACUUCUCGAUUAAUUGCAAUUGUAAUGUUCAAGCGGAAAUGUUCUCCGUGGUCUCCAUUGACGUCAUCGAUGCGGUGAAACGAUCAAUUAUAUGGAACUAAUAUUUAUUCAAACAUCGGAGACCACAGAGAAAUGGGCAGCUAAUUCAUGAUAGCGUAAGUUAUGCACGUGAAACACGCGAACAAUGCCUGUAGGAUAAACGUGAGCGGUAUACAUAUGUAUAUGUUAAUUUAUAAAUUGAAGAAUAUAGGAAAAAGCACAUUGUCCCACUUAUGUAAAUUUAAAGAUAAAUCUACUUCUUGUAAAAUUAAAAAAAAUAAAAUAAAAUAAAAUAAA